AGAGUUUGAUCCUGGCUCAGGACGAACGCUGGCGGCGUGCCUAACACAUGCAAGUCGAGCGAUGAAGUUCCUUCGGGAACGGAUUAGCGGCGGACGGGUGAGUAACACGUGGGUAACCUGCCUCAAAGAGGGGGAUAGCCUCCCGAAAGGGAGAUUAAUACCGCAUAACAUUAUUUUCUCGCAUGAGAAGAUAAUCAAAGGAGCAAUCCGCUUUGAGAUGGACCCGCGGCGCAUUAGCUAGUUGGUGAGGUAACGGCUCACCAAGGCGACGAUGCGUAGCCGACCUGAGAGGGUGAUCGGCCACAUUGGAACUGAGACACGGUCCAGACUCCUACGGGAGGCAGCAGUGGGGAAUAUUGCGCAAUGGGGGAAACCCUGACGCAGCAACGCCGCGUGAGUGAUGAAGGUCUUCGGAUUGUAAAGCUCUGUCUUUGGGGACGAUAAUGACGGUACCCAAGGAGGAAGCCACGGCUAACUACGUGCCAGCAGCCGCGGUAAUACGUAGGUGGCAAGCGUUGUCCGGAUUUACUGGGCGUAAAGAGUAUGUAGGCGGAUAUUUAAGUCAGAUGUGAAAUUCCCGGGCUUAACCUGGGCGCUGCAUUUGAAACUGGGGUAUCUAGAGUGCGGGAGAGGAAAGUGGAAUUCCUAGUG
rnacentral:rRNA from 1 species